CGCGGCGCCGGGCGUCCGGGUCGGUCGCCACGCUGAAGACGUGGCCGACCCGCCCGUGCGGGUUCUCCGCCCGCCCGAUGCGG
rnacentral:tRNA from 1 species